UACGGAGGAUCCGAGCGUUAUCCGGAUUUAUUGGGUUUAAAGGGUGCGCAGGCGGGAGAUUAAGUCGGCGGUGAAAUUUUGCAGCUCAACUGUAAAAGUGCCUUCGAAACUGGUUUCCUUGAGUGUAGAUGAAGUAGGCGGAAUUUGUGGUGUAUCGGUGAAAUGCAUAGAUAUCACGAGGAACUCCGAUUGCGCAGGCAGCUUACUAAACUACUACUGACGCUCAGGCACGAAGGCGUGGGGAUCAAACAGGAUUAGAUACCCGUGUA
rnacentral:rRNA from 1 species